rnacentral:rRNA from 1 species
UGAACGCUGGCGGCGUGCCUAAUACAUGCAAGUCGAGCGAACAGACGAGGAGCUUGCUCCUCUGACGUUAGCGGCGGACGGGUGAGUAACACGUGGAUAACCUACCUAUAAGACUGGGAUAACUUCGGGAAACCGGAGCUAAUACCGGAUAAUAUAUUGAACCGCAUGGUUCAAUAGUGAAAGACGGUUUUGCUGUCACUUAUAGAUGGAUCCGCGCCGCAUUAGCUAGUUGGUAAGGUAACGGCUUACCAAGGCAACGAUGCGUAGCCGACCUGAGAGGGUGUUCGGCCACACUGGAACUGAGACACGGUCCAGACUCCUACGGGAGGCAGCAGUAGGGAAUCUUCCGCAAUGGGCGAAAGCCUGACGGAGCAACGCCGCGUGAGUGAUGAAGGUCUUCGGAUCGUAAAACUCUGUUAUUAGGGAAGAACAAAUGUGUAAGUAACUAUGCACGUCUUGACGGUACCUAAUCAGAAAGCCACGGCUAACUACGUG